UCAUUCCAGCUGCUGGUCCAUGUUGC
rnacentral:misc_RNA from 1 species